rnacentral:rRNA from 1 species
CACAAGCGGCGGAGCAUGUGGAUUAAUUCGAUGCAACGCGAAGAACCUUACCUAGGCUUGACAUAUACAGGACGACGGCAGAGAUGUCGUUUCCCUUGUGGCUUGUAUACAGGUGGUGCAUGGUUGUCGUCAGCUCGUGUCGUGAGAUGUUGGGUUAAGUCCCGCAACGAGCGCAACCCCUGUCUCAUGUUGCCAGCACGUUAUGGUGGGGACUCGUGAGAGACUGCCGGGGUCAACUCGGAGGAAGGUGGGGAUGACGUCAAAUCAUCAUGCCCCUUAUGUCUAGGGCUUCACACAUGCUACAAUGGCUAGUACAGAGGGCUGCGAUACCGUGAGGUGGAGCGAAUCCCUUAAAGCUGGUCUCAGUUCGGAUUGGGGUCUGCAACUCGACCCCAUGAAGUCGGAGUCGCUAGUAAUCGCAGAUCAGCAAUGCUGCGGUGAAUACGUUCCCGGGCCUUGUACACACCGCCCGUCACGUCAUGAAAGUCGGUAACACCCGAAGCCGGUGGCCCAACCCUUGUGGAGGGAGCCGUCGA